rnacentral:snoRNA from 1 species
GAUCCUAGUGAUGACAGACGACAUUGUCACCUGAUCCCCGUGUGGGAGUGAGGACAUGUCCUGCAAUUCUGAAUGGAUU